UUCCAGUGGCCCUACACAAAAACCUGGCAUUUUCAUAAGCAACGUUAAACCAAAUUCUUUGUCUGCUGAAGUAGGGUUGGAGGUUGGUGAUCAGAUUGUUGAAGUAAAUGGUGCAGACUUCUCUAAUAUGGAUCAUAAGGAGGCUGUGAAGGUGUUGAAAAGCAGUCAAACCCUGACAAUUAUUGUUGUAACUGGAGCUG